UGGGUUAUCCGUGGUAAUAUCUUAAAUAAAAUUUGUGACGUCAUUCCAUGGUCUGCUUGCUCCAAUACUUUUCAGGAAUGGGGCGAUGUGUACCAGUUUCAAACUAAAACAUUCC